rnacentral:lncRNA from 1 species
CUCUCUGAGAAGGAGAAGAAGUAUUUACAUUAGAAGUCUGAUUCACAGGUCGGGGCAAAGUGAAAAACAUCUGCACUUUUAAAAGAGAGGUCAAAAGUCCGUCUGACUCACCUGUGCUGAGUGACUUGAAUGCCAUCUAAUCUAACUUCAAGGUGAGGACAGUCUGUUCUGAAGGUCUACACAUUAAUGCUUCCUAUUGGGAAUUCAAAUCGGCAAUUUGUUCUUCUUCUGGUUGUUUGAAUCUUCAAAAUAGAGGGAAGACACCUGGAUGAAACAUUUUCACAGACUCUGCAAUUCCCUUAAGAGGAUCCCAGAGCCCUUAAGCUUCUCUUAGAUUCCUCUGAUUUUUUUCAGCCCAAGGACUGUUACCACAUGUCUUCCAUCUUGCCCACAAUUUUAGCAGAUCAUCAGGAUACUUGCCAACAAGGUCACAGUGGACUCCAUGGAGCAACUGCCCUCAGGAGGCAACAGGUCACAGUGUUUGGACACCGCAUGAACAUGCCAAUUUCCUGUGUUGUAAUAUUUUUAUGCACUUUAAGAAGACCACCAGAAACAGCAGAGUGAGUGAAUGACUGAGGCGCAUAUUGGACAAAAAUCACUUAUCCAAGACCACGUUACUACAACCCCAGGGCACAGAAGCUAAGUCUUCCUAUUGUACUGAACUCAGUUGACUGGAAUUUGUUCAGGAAAGCAUGAAGUCAAAUGGAAGCUAGUCCGUGACUGGAUUCAUCUUUUGGUAAAAAACGAAGAGGAGACCCCAUAUCCUGGAGGUUCUUGCUUAACCCUGUCCCUAAUAAGACCUAACUUUAUGAGUCUUCUCCUUAGAGGCAGUCCUAGGGUAAGAGUGAUUAUUCCUGUGAGCCUUGUAGGUACUUUCGAAUCAAG